UCUUGCAAUUUUUUAAAAGUUUAGUUAGAAAAAAUGAUUUUAUUGUGUAUUAUUUGUUUAUAAACUUUUUCCAAGGUUCUGCUCGACCCUCUGUAAUAACAGGUUAAUAAUACCACACAGGAGCACACAGUCUUUUUAAAUUCAUUCACAGAAGAGGAGAUGGGGUGAUCUCAGACGAGGCAACUUGAAUUGGAAUCGGAAGUGACUUGUGAGGUUUAAUCAUUAACCAAGGGUUAAAUCUAAUGCUGGAAGAUAAAUAAGCAUCGGGAUUCAAAGAUUUAUGACAAAUGGAGGCCUUAUAUAAUAGUUCAGCUCUAGCUACAACAGCAACUUGGAAAUUAAUUAAAGUUUAAUUAAAAAAUAAAAACCCUGAAUUUUCAACAAUUUACAAGAAUUUUGGAAAGCAUUGGCAAGAGUUUUUGUGCCAAUAAGAGGCGUUAUUUGAAUUAGAUCUAAUCUGCAGGGCGAUAGAAGUACUACUUCAUAGAUACGACAGAACAUUUGGAUAUUAUAGUUCAAUGACAGUUAUAAGGAACACAUAUAACUCAAGAUUUGGAACUUUCAAAUGCACCACCCAGCAAGCUGAUCUAUAAAUAAUAUUCUAUUGACUGUAUUUCUAUAAGUCUUAUUUGUUUGGUAAAAUAUGCCAUUUAUUUAGAAUUUUCCUACAUGUUUAUGCUUAACUUUCAUUUUUCUUCAAUAGUUCGACUCCUAUAUUUUGUCCCAUUGUGGGAAUAAUGUCCAUAAUCUGCACUUUAUUCCUGCUAAACUUUAACAGUUCUUUUGUUGUUUUAGAGUUUGGUCCUUGGAUUAAGGCCUUGUUAUGCCUGUGCCCCUGUUUGUGUCUCCACUGGAUAGUCUCAAUACAUUUGGGUAUUCCCAUUACUAGCUCUAGACCAAGAUACGAUUCCAAUGAUCCUUGUUUUGAUAAUUCAUCAGUUGUUUUGUAGUACUUUCAUUUCUCUAUAAUACUUUGCCUCCCAUAUUUUCUUUAUUGUA